rnacentral:lncRNA from 1 species
GGCUGGUCUCAGAUAGCAUCAAUUCUCCCAUGUAGAUGCACCUUGUGAUCUUUAUUAUGUGUUAUGUGUAUCCCCAAAAAACACAAUCCUAACUUUUCCUCCUUGUUUCCUUAGUGGUGAUCAAAUGCUCUCGGGCUCCCCUAGUACUACUGGAACCAGAAUCGGGAGUCCGUAUCGACUCAGUAUCCACGACGCCAACCAGCCGCAACCUGCGUGAGUAACAUCUCGUAUACGGAGCCACUUUCUUCCUUCUCCUCUUGUGUUGGACUGUGUGUCCCUACAAAGUCAAAGAGGUAUUUUGGAAAGUUCCUCUCUCCCACCAAAAAAUAAUACUUUCAUGUUUCGAGUGAUUCUGACUCAUCCCAUAUA